rnacentral:rRNA from 1 species
GACGAACGCUGGCGGCGUGCUUAACACAUGCAAGUCGAACGGAAAGGCCCUGCUUUUGUGGGGUGCUCGAGUGGCGAACGGGUGAGUAACACGUGAGUAACCUGCCCUUGACUUUGGGAUAACUUCAGGAAACUGGGGCUAUUACCGGAUAGGAGCUCUUGCUGCAUGGUGGGGGUUGGAAAGUUUCGGCGGUUGGGGAUGGACUGGCGGCUUAUCAGCUUGUUGGUGGGGUAGUGGCUUACCAAGGCUUUGACGGGUAGCCGGCCUGAGAGGGUGACCGGCCACAUUGGGACUGAGAUACGGCCCAGACUCCUACGGGAGGCAACAGUGGGGAGUAUUGCACAAUGGGCGGAAGCCUGAUGCAGCAACGCCGCGUGCGGGAUGACGGCCUUCGGGUUGUAAACCACUGUCGCCUGUGACGAAGCGUGAGUGACGGUAAUGGGUAAAGAAGCACCGGCUAACUACGUG